GGACUACCAGGGUAUCUAAUCCUGUUCGCUACCCACGCUUUCGCACCUCAGUGUCAGUAUUAGUCCAGAGAGUCGCCUUCGCCACUGGUGUUCCUUCCAAUAUCUACGCAUUUCACCGCUACACUGGAAAUUCCACUCUCCUCUACCAUACUCUAGUCACCCAGUCUUGGAUGCAGUUCCCAGGUUAAGCCCGGGGAUUUCACACCCAACUUAAAUAACCACCUACGUGCGCUUUACGCCCAGUAAUUCCGAUUAACGCUUGCACCCUCUGUAUUACCGCGGCUGCUGGCAC
rnacentral:rRNA from 1 species